rnacentral:rRNA from 1 species
GACGAACGCUGGCGGCGUGCUUAACACAUGCAGGUCGAGCGGAAAGGCCCUUCGGGGUACUCGAGCGGCGAACGGGUGAGUAACACGUGAGUAACCUGCCCUUCACUUUGGGAUAACCCUCGGAAACGGGGGCUAAUACCGGAUAUGACACAUGCUCGCAUGGGUGGUGUGUGGAAAGAUUUUUUGGUGGGGGAUGGCUCGCGGCCGUAUCAGCUUGUUGGGUGGGGUGAUGGCCUACCAAGGCGGACGACGGGUAGCCGGCCUGAGAGGGCGACCGGCCACACU